rnacentral:rRNA from 1 species
GACGAACCGUGCGAACGUUAUUCGGAAUCGCUGGGCUUAAAGGGCGCGUAGACGGGCGACCGCGUCGAUGGCUGAAAGCCCCCGGCUCAACCGGGGAACGGGCCUCGAUACGGGUCGCCUCGAGUGGAGGAGGGGGACCUGGAACUGCCGGUGGAGCGGUGAAAUGCGUUGAGAUCGGCAGGAACGCCUGUGGCGAAAGCGAGGUCCUGGACUCUGACUGACGUUGAGGCGCGAAAGCCAGGGGAGCGAACGGG